ensembl:lncRNA
GUGUGUACAUUUAUAAUGUUCUAACCAAGUCUCAAACCUUGACAAUAAUUUUCAUUAAAAACAAUCCCAUUCAUCAGACAAAUCUUGAUGAAAAACAAAAUUUUUCCAUAAACUUAUCAGAAGACUCACUUUUUUCUCUUUCUUGGAUAGAGAAACCAUUUUCUGACAGGUUUACAAUCUCAGUGUCCUUACAAGUUAAGUCCUAAGCUCACAGGAUCCUCCGAGCAUGUCCAUCACCUGCUCUUUGGCUAAGGUGGCAGUGUACCUCUAGAUCAACCUGGGAACAGUCACAAGGGAGUGUGACUUCUUGGCCAUAAUAAACUCACUUGACAGUGUUUGUGUUAUUAAUCUGAACGCAACAGAAGACAAAAGCACAGGUACGCACACACACAAAACCCCAAACCACUAAAAACUACCUAAACACUGACUUAGUAAAUAGUAAAAAGGUAAUGUUGGGACUUUUAAACCUUGAAUCCAUUAGCCAGGCUUGGGAUGAAAGAACCAUCUAAAAUCAUGCUAAUCUAAACCAUACUCUUCCCCACAGCUGUUUAAAAACCACUGGGUAUGAGGAAUAUGCUAGAAAGAAAUGUUAAAAAUAGAUUGUUGGCCCACACUUAUUUCUCUAAUAAAUAGGACCAUUAUUACUACCAGGAAAGUCUUAUUUAUUUUGCCUGAAUUUGUGCUUAAAGAAAGUCUCAUGACGGGAUGGGAUGGGCUGCGCUUCUCAAUGAACUCUGAGGCAGAAAUAUUUGCCUUGGAUUCUGUGGAUUCUUUAAACCUGUGUGCUAAUAAUUCAAACAAUGUUGCAUUAAUUGUAUAAGGGUUUUUGUAUAGUUUUCAAACAUCUGUGGUGUAAUGAUCUUUGUUAAACAUAUAUUCUGUAAAGUGCCAUAGUCUUUUUUUAUGUGUAGCAUAUUUAAAAAUAUAUAUGUAUAUUAUACAUACACAAGUUUGUGUGAAAGAUGUGCAAUAACAAAGGUGUAUGUAUGUUUUGUUGUUUUGGAAACUGGACAGGAGUCAAAACAGGGAUGUUUCUGUUUUGGCAAAGGAGAGUUCCACAUUUUUGCCUUCAUGGCUUAUUCAGUAACCCAUAAUUUUAAUGCUACACAAAUCUUAUGUGAAGAAAAGACUGGUAUGAAAUCAUUUUUUCCUGGGUCUAAAAUAAUCACUACAGUUAUGUCAAAGUUAAGCCCACACGCCAGGCCCAGUUAAUGCUAGUCUUUCAUGUGAAAUGUGAAGCUGCCAUGUUGCCUUUUCUCUUUAGUAGAAUAACCAGUAGCUGGUACAUAAUCACUGAGGAGCUAUUUCUUAACGUGCUUUUAUAGACCAUGCUAAUGCUAGACCAGUAUUUAAGAGCUAAUCUCACACCUCCUUAGCUGUAAGAGUCUGGCUUAGAACAGACCUCUCUGUGCAAUAACUUGUGGCCACUGGAAAUCCCUGGGCCGGCAUUUGUAUUGGGGUUGCAAUGACUCCCAAGGGCCAAAAGAGUUAAAGGCACGACUGGGAUUUCUUCUGAGACUGUGGUGAAACUCCUUCCAAGGCCGAGGGGGUCAUUAGGUGCUCUGGAGGGACUCGGCACCACUUGAUAUUCAACAGCCACUUGAGCCAAAUAUAAAAUUGUAUUUACAGCUGAUGGACACAAUUUGAGCCUUCAAACUUGUAGUUCUCCUAUUAUAUUGUAAACUAAUACAUUGUUUGUCUAGCAUUGAUUCGGUUCCUGUGCAUAUGUAUUUUCACAAUGUGCUCCCCUCCCCAGAUCUUAAUUAAACAAGAUUUUGCAAA